rnacentral:tRNA from 1 species
GGGCGCGUAACUCAGCGGCUAGAGUGCCAUCUUCACACGGUGGAAGUCGGAGGUUCGAUUCCUCCCGCGCCCA